rnacentral:lncRNA from 1 species
ACCAUAAUGUGGUGGCUUCUCUCCCUUAGGUGGUUUGCCAACUGGGGUUGGUGGCUUGUGUUCUGGGAGUGGCUUCUCCCCCUUGGGAGGUUUUUCCAAUGGGGUUGGUUUGUGUUCAGGAGGUGGCUUCUCCACUGGAGGCUUGUGUUCAGGAGGUGGCUUCUCCACCGGAGGCUUGUGUUCAGGUGGUGGCUUCUCCACCGGAGGCUUAUGCUCUGGUGGUGGCUUCUCGAAUGGGGGAUGCUUAGGAUAAUCAGCAAGUGAGGGGGCGGUGAGAACCACCAGGCCAAGCAACACCACUAGCAAAUAUGUAGGAGACAUCUUUGGGUUUGGGCUCAGAUGGUGCAAAACUAGGAGAAUUGGCUAGCCUUUUAUAGCGGAUCGUACCCAAUAAUGAAAUGACACGUGUCAUUAUGACCCAUGUGUAAUGGGGUCGAUUUGGGUCCUACAGUGUUGAAAACUUCGACAUCCACUUUUGGCCUUUUGCUUUCUCUACAGCCGCCUUGCUUUUUCCCUCUUUCCUUUUGUUUUCCUCCUGCCCCAUUCUAUCAACUAAACACAAUUAUGUAGUUGUUUAAUUCUUAAAUGAGAUAUUAUCCGUCAAUCGUAUUAUAUUUUAUCAAGAGAGAACGGAGUGCAAUGUGGCUGUAAUUUUAUCGUUUAGUUUUAUCUCUUGGACCACUGCAUUUUUGUUAAGAGGUGCAAUAAUACACGUCUUUAUCUGCCAUUCAAUAUUUACAGUAAAGAGAGGGCACAAAACUCUUCACUUCGCACCAUAAUUAUUUUGUUUUCUGGACACCCCGGGGCCCUUUGGUUGGUUUGGGGGUCAGAAAGUGAACAUCAUAGGGGGUUUUUCCCUUAUGUGCAUUUGUAUCUGAUGGCUUUAACUCGCCUUGUUACUACAAAGAAACUGUCACAGAUAGGAACUUAUUCCAGGCUGAGUAUCUCCUCAUAGACCCUAUAAAAGAAGACAAGUCAUAAUGAACAUCUAACCUUUGUUCAAUUUGAUUCAAUGCCCCCAUUGUGUCCAUCUCACAAAUCUGAAUUAUUAUAUCCAUUGAAUACAUAAAUUAAUGAAGAAAAUAUGAAACCCAAGAUACAUCUCUGCACAACCUCAACCCUGGUUGCUAUGUUUCCCUUCUAUUCACAUGAUUUGAUGCUAAUUGCCAAACUUGCAACAAGCCCUGAGUUUGACACCUAGUAUCGAUGGGCGAAUUUAAAGUCUCCUCCAAACAUAUAUUCCACAGCUUGAAGCUCACAGAAGAUGUUACAGGCAGGGAAAAACCUUCAGAGUUCGCUACCAAAGAUAAUUAUUAAGGAGAUAUCACAAAGAGAAUUCCAAGGGGUCUGAAUCAAAGACAAAUUGGUCGUUCGUGGGGGUUCUUACUUUCUUUUGGGUAUAACUCACUGAGGGCACUGUCUUUGUUAUUUGCAUUUCACAUUUAGAGUUCUGUUCUGGAAACAUAUAAAAGGAGCAUCAUUUUGUUCUUGGGUAACCCAUAGUCGUGAGUGGGUCCAUUUGCAUGCUACUUAGUUGAAAAGUUGGACCAUUUGCUCCGACGCCUACCUCCCGGAUUCCAUGCUCGGAUAAAACAAGAAUAAAAAAAAUAUUUAUAAUUUACAAAUGGGGGAAAGAAAAAAAUGUCAACAACAAACCAGGAAAAAAGAGUAGUAAAAUUCAUGUCACAUGCUAGUGAGAGAAGGGGUUGUUACACUCACUCGAAGUUCUUUCCAAAAUAUCGCAUGGUAUUUUAUUUUAUGUGUCAGCGCAGUUGUGAAUGGAACGUGCAAAAGUCCAAAUUGGCGUUUUUCCUUUUCCCGUGUAGGAUGGCGACCUUUAAUAAAUAUUUAAAACAAAAAACGAAAAAAAGGAGGGAAAAGGGAUCAGAAAAGAUAAAACAAUGUGUACAAGAGCUCAAUUAGUUUGCAAAUUACUGUUUGGAUUUUGAUAGUAUUUUAUUUGUCCAUCUAUAUUUGAUGGAAAAGAGAAUUUAAGAUAUUUCUGAAACAAAAGCAUUAGUGUAAAACUAAAUUAAGGUAUAAUUAAGUUAGUUCAAUGCAUUAAUUUAAGAAACUUGAUCUAUCCAAAGUACAAAAUUAGAUGAAAUCCAUUUCAAUGGUUAAAAUGAUCAAAAUCAAACUUUUUCUAAGUAUUUUUUAAAAGCAUCAAUAUUAAAAGACAAUUUUAUAUUUAGUCGGAGUUUGGACAAAACCAAAAAGCACACAAAAUCCAAGCGACCAUCUCUAGCUUGGAUAGUCACUUGAUCCCACCUAGAGAUGUGCAUGAGUAAAAGGAUUUGAAAAUGGAAAUUGACUAAAUAUUUAGUUGAUCAAUUAAAUUUGCAAUGUCAUAUGCAAUCCUAAUAGCUAGUCAUCUAAUCAAUUAGGUAGUCAAUCAAGUGUUUGUAAUGACUAUUUUGUACAAAAAACCACAUGUAUAGUUAAAUAUAAUGCAUUUCAUUUAUAAAUCUUCUAAUUCUUGAAUAACGAUCCUAUCAUCCUUUGAAAAUUUUUAUUACACCUUUUUUACUUUUGUUCUAAAACUUACAUAUCACCCUUAAUUGUACCAUGAGAACCUAGCUAUUUUUUUUUUUUUUGUAAUUCAUCAAAGUUAGCUUUUGUAUUCAUUGUUGUAUUAUUUUUAGUAUAACUUAGAAAGCUAGUGUUUUCAAGUGAGUAAAAUUAACUUGUAAAUAUUGUAAAGAUUCAUUGAUAUGUAUCUUAAACUAAGUGUACAAAUUAAAACAUUUGCUAGUAGAUUUUCUCAAAAUUUAGAAUAGAGCUUGAGGCUAUUGAAAUAGGUGGGGUUACACCAAACCACAUCACAUCGUUGUUUGCACCUUUUUUCACUCUCUUUUACUUAGUUUCUCUAUAUUUGUUGUCUAGUAAUAUCCUAUAGGCUUGAUGGGUUAGGGAGCAUCCCUUUGUGAAAAAAUUUCAUUCAAUUCUUAGUUGUAUUACGCAUAUAUAAAAUGCCUCAUUGUUUUAAUGGUAUUCAGUCGUGGCAUCACAGAUAUGGGCAUCUAAAUUUUAAAAGUUUGAAACUUUUGUAAAGCAUGUUGAUAAAAUCCAUGAGAGUUGUGUACUUGGGAAGCAACAUCGAGGUGACUUUAUUUUUUUUUCCUUUUAUAAUGCCACACCUAAGUCCGGUUUCUAAAUGCUAAAGUGAAAGGGUAGGUAUGGACCAUUGAAAUGUGAUCACAACUUUUGGCCUUUUCCUUUCUCUGCAGCCAUGUUGUCUCUUUUUUCUUUUGCAUGAUUUUCUUACCAAAACAGAAUCAUAGACUUGUUUAGUCUCUAAGCUACUAUAUUAUAUCUCGGUGGACUUUUAAGAGUGCAACCGACAUAGAGCACAUGCAAGUGGGCAUAUGGGACAUGAAAUUUCUUCUUACAAAGAUUGCAUGAUUUUUAUAUUAGAGUUGUUCACGUGCAAUGUAUUUAGCUUGUUUUGCAGUUAAAUUAAUUGGAUAAGUAAACAUUGGCAUUUCUAAAUCGACUGUGAAGUGCUUCAUGUACGUGUAAAGUAUUAGAAAUUUCUUUCUUGGCAACUUGUUUUUUCCUUGCCAUCUACUGGUAGGUUUGACUAAAAUUAUAUUCCCUGUCAUGCUAAUUAAUUUUCAUGUGCAUGCUCAAAAGAAGAGUAUGACCUUAGUGCACCAAAAUCACUUUGAUUAAUUUGUGAUAGGUUUUUUUGCAUCAUUUAGAUAAUGUUUAGUUCUAAGAAAAAUUUAUAUAAAAAUGGUUUAUUUAUCUUACAUAUAUAUAUAUAUAUAUAUAUUUUUUUUUUUUUCAUUUUUUUUUCUUCUAUUUUAUUUAUUUAUUUUAUUUUCCUUAUGUUUUCCUCACAUUUUCCGGAACUAAACAUAGUCUUACGAAAUCAACAAUUGCCUUCAACUGAGUAGAUUCUGUUGUUUUAGCAAUGUUAGGCUGCUAACUUGUGGUGGUACGAACCAAAUGACCCAUGUUAAUCUUGGCUUGGUUUGAUUUGGCUCUAUCUCAGAGAGCUAAAGGAUCACGUCAACUCUGGUUUCUACUAUUCAGGUCCAUUCCCAGAUGAACUGGUUCAAAUUUGAGAAAAUGGUAACAGACCUUUAGUGAUGUUGGUUUGGAGCCAGUUGCCAAACCCGCCCUGAGCUUUACCACUAAUGUCAAGGGAGAAAGCCAUUUGAACAAAAACAAUAGCUUCAAGAGACUGAAUCGUGGAUGAAAUCUGAUCCACAUUUCUUCUCAUUUUGGGAAAAAAUGAGAACUUAACUACAAAGAUUCUACUGCCUCAUUCAUAGUGCUUUUCCUGAUCCAAGGUUGGUUCGUUUCCCAAAUUGUGAGGUGCACGUGCCACUCUCACGCUCAGGAGUGUAUCCACGUGGUGGACAUCAGAUGGUGGCUUAAUAUCUGGUGUCGGUGGCUUUACUUUACUAGGAGAGUAGUGUGUCUUCAUCUCAUUCACUGCCGGAGGGUGGCGUAAGCAGUGACGCUAAGGUGGGGCACAGUCAAUAUCAUUUGCAUUUGACCAUUAUAGUUUUCUCCCGGCUUGAAAGUAACCUUAUCGUGAUAAAGGAUUACUAGCACUAGUUCAGAUGACCGUCAUGUUAAUUCGGACCAUGUUUGUGUCACAUUAUCAGCAACCAUGUGUUUAUGGUUCAUGCUAUCUGCAACUAAACUUGAUAUAUAACCAGGUGAACUUCAAUCAAAAUUCUGGAAGUACUCUUGUGAUAGAUGGUGCCUGUCUGCAGAGUCCAUCAAUUGAAAAAUGGAGUGAGUGUAUCUAUAAGAGGGAAGGCUUGGCAAAUGUUCAGUUUUCUGGGAAUUCAACAAGGAUCUAAAAUAGAUUGUUUUCUUUGCCGACUUCAAUGGUUGAAAUUUGAGAAGAUUGUGUCCACAUAUCACAACUAUUACUGGUCCUUCUGUUGCAAUUUAUCCUGUAAGGCUCUAACAUGUCUUCCAAUUCCCACUUCCCUGUUACUCCAGGAAAGCUAUUUCUGUCAUUGUGAAGAAGAAAAGAGAAUGUACAUAUCGAUGCUUUUAAGUGACUGGAGCAUUCAUAUCAGGUGGUCUGCAGCCAUAUAUGCCACUUUGUGAAGGUUGGAACAGUCAAUCACUAGGCUAUAUAUUGGUGUGGCCCAGCCACUUCAAUCAAGGACAAGUCUUCAUACUUAAAGUCAAAUUCUGCCUUUAGUCUCAUUAUAAAUUGCUGUUUAAAUAUUAAGCAAACUUUUGUUUAAUGCGAUUAAGACAGUACUAACUCAAUACUUGUUCUAUUUUUGGAUGCAAAUGCUUGAUGGUUUCAUCAUUGGAUGGGAUAAAGGUGCAUUCAUGAUUAUGAAUACUUGUAGUUAUAUUUUCAUUCUCUUUUUUCUCAAUGAGACUUGUUGGCACAAUGUUGCUGUUCAGAAACCUACCUCUCCAUGGAAAAUAAGUUGCGAUUGAUAGUACUGGAUAUGUUCAAGAAAGCUAAAUAUAGAUAGCACAAAAUAUUAUCGAUAUAAAUAGCAUUAACAGCGUACGUAUGUCUCAAUGCUCAUCAGCUAUAAGCAUGGGACAAACACUUACUAUGAGCAACUUACGUCAAAAUUCCAGAAUAGGACAUAGAAGUGACAGAUCUAUAUAUAUAGAACACUGCAUAUGAGUCACAAGAAAGGAAAUUACGGGUGCAUAGCAGCUCUUAUUUUACAUACUACUACUCAUACUGAUCAAAGUCACUCAGUUGGGAUGGGUGGGAGUAGGAGGUUUGUGGGGUGGCUUGUGCGGAGGAGUUGGCAGCUUCUUUCCAGGACCUGGUUGCUUCUCUGCUGGAGUUGAAGGAGGCUUAAUCUUCCGAGGUGGCUUGUAUGAGUCUUCAGCAUUCUCAGCUGGAGGGUGACCAGGGUUGUGACCAUAAUGUGGUGGCUUCUCUCCCUUAGGUGGUUUGCCAACUGGGGUUGGUGGCUUGUAUGAGUCUUCAGCAUUCUCAGCAGGAGGGUGACCAGGGUUGUGACCAUAAUGUGGUGGCUUCUCUCCCUUAGGUGGUUUGCCAACUGGGGUUGGUGGCUUGUGUUCUGGGAGUGGCUUCUCCCCCUUGGGAGGUUUUUCCAAUGGGGUUGGUUUGUGUUCAGGAGGUGGCUUCUCCACUGGAGGCUUGUGUUCAGGAGGUGGCUUCUCCACCGGUGGCUUGUGUUCAGGAGGUGGCUUCUCCACCGGAGGCUUAUGCUCUGGUGGUGGCUUCUCCACCGGAGGCUUAUGCUCUGGUGGUGGCUUCUUGAAUGGGGGAUGCUGAGGGUAAUCAGCAAGUGAGGGGGCGGUGAGAACCACCAGGCCAAGCAACACCACUAGCAAAUAUGUAGGAGACAUCUUUGGGUUUGGGCUCAGAUGGUGCAAAACUAGGAGAAUUGGCUAGCCUUUUAUAGCGGAUCGUACUCAAUAAUGAAAUGACACGUGUCAUUAUGACCCAUGUGUAAUGGGGUCGAUUUGGGUCCUACAGUGUUGAAAACUUCGACAUCCAGUUUUGGCCUUUUGCUUUCUCUACAGCCGCCUUGCUUUUUCCCUCUUUCCUUUUGUUUUCCUCCUGCCCCAUUCUAUCAACUAAACACAAUUAUGUAGUUGUUUAAUUCUUAAAUGAGAUAUUAUCGGUCAAUCGUAUUAUAUUUUAUCAAGAGAGAACGGAGUGCAAUGCAGCUGUAAUUUUAUCGUUUACUUUUAUCUCUUGGACCACUGCAUUUUUGUUAAGAGGUGCAAUAAUACACGUCUUUAUCUGCCAUUCAAUGUUUACAGUAAAGAGAGGGCACAAAACUCUUCACUGCUCUGCAUGUGUCCCAAAAAUGCGAUUGGACAAAUUAUGAUUUGCAUGCUAAAAAGAGGCAAAUGAGGUUAAUUCGCACCAUAAUUAUUUGGUUUUCUGGACACCAUAAAAAGAUGUUAUACAGGCAGGGAAAAACCUUCAGAGUUAGCUACCAAAGAUAAUUAUCAAGCAGAUAUCACCAAGAGAAUUCCAUAGAGUCUGAAUCAAAGACAGAUUGCUCGCUCGUGGGGGUUCUUACUUUCUUUUGGGUAUAACUCACUGAGGUCACUGUCUUUUUUAUUUGCAUUUCACAGUUAGAGUUCUGCUCUGGAAGGUUUGUUCUGGAAACAUAUAAAAGGAGCAUCAUUUUGUUCUUGGGUAACCCAUAGUCGUGAGUGGGUCCAUUUGCAUGCUACUUAGUUGAAAAGUUGGACAAUUUGCUCCGACGCCUACCUCCUGGAUUCCAUGCUCGGUAAAACAAGAAUAAAAAAAAAUAUAUAAUUUACAAAUGGGGGAAAGAAAAAAUGUCGGAAAAAAUAGUAAAAUUCAUGUCACAUGCUAGUGAGAGAAGGGGUUGUUACACUCACUCGAAGUUCUUUUCAAAAUAUCGAAUGGUAUUUUACUUUAUGUGUCAGCGCAGUUGUGAAUGGAACGUGCAAAAGUCCAAAUUGGCGUUUUUAUUUUUCCCAUGUAGGAUGGUGACCUUUAAUAAAUAUUUAAAACAAAAGACGAAAAAAAAAAGGAGGGAAAAGGGAUCACAAAAGAUAAAAUAAUGUUUACAAAAGCUCAAUUAGUUUGCAAAUUACUGUUUGGAUUUUGAUAGUAUUUUAUUUGUCGUUCUAUAUUUGAUGUAAAAGAGAAUUUAAGAUAUUUCCGAAGCAAAAGCAUUAGUUUGCUCUGUGAUGUCCCACAUCGAAUAGGGGAGAAAGUUUCUGGCGCUAUAUAUGUAGAGGCUCCUCUUAACCAAGUAGAUGCGUUUUAAAACCAUGAGGGCCCCCUUAGGUCCAAAGCGGACAAUAUCUACAUGAUUGGGUGUAAGUCAUUACAAAUGGUAUCAGAGCCGAUCCCCGACCCCGGUGUGGGGGUUUGUUUGGCCCUGUAAGGGGUGUUUGUCUGUUUGACCCCACAAUCCCAUGGGACACAACGAGGACGUUGUGUCUGCAUGGGGGGGCGUUUGUGAUGUCCCACAUCGGAUAGGGGAGAAAGUUCCUAGUGCUAUAUAUGUAGAUGUUUCUCUUAACCAAGUAGAUGCAUUUUAAAAUUGUGAGGGCCUCUUUGGGCCCAAAGCGGACAAUAUCUACAUGGUUGAGUGUAAGUCAUUACAUGCUCCAUGUCAAUUUCAGCAUUUCUCAUAUGUUUCACACAUACACAGAAGAGCAUCGUUUUUUAAAGCAUGCAUUUAUGUUGGAUUAAUUUGGAUUUUGUGGGAACUGGGGCAAGGAUCACAUGGAAGAGAGGUUGACUUUUUUCAGUACUUCAAUGGUUGAAAUAUGUGAAGGCUUGAUUGAUACUAAAGCUUGAAAUUGCGACUCUGUCAUUUGUAAAAAAAUAUGACAGCUUCCAUGCUCUCGUUUGGUUGCAUUGUCCGGUCGAGAGGUGCAAAAAGCAUUCUCUCUCUUCUAAUAGUCUUUUCGUUUAAAUCAAGGGAUUUGCCUUCCCGGUCGAGGUCCAAUAGAGGGUAACGGUCACCUACUAAACAUUAAAUGCUCCAACAACUAGUGAACUGAUCGACCCCAGCUCGACUAGUUGAGGUUACUUUUUGGUUUUCUUGUCUCCCGAGGUUAGAAACCUAUAAAUAGAGAGCUUCACUUCAUUUAUGAGUAAGAGAACACCUAAAUUUAUUUGUUUACCUACUUGUUUUUGCCAUAAAAGCUCUCAUUUCUUUUCUUGGUGUAUUAAAUCUCCAUUUGCAUAUCCUUUAGUGCACCUUUGUGAUUCAUUCUAGCCUUGAGUUGUAUUUAAGCCUUUGUUGAGCUAGGUUGAGAGUUUCAUACUUGUUUAUUGAGUGUUAAAGCCUUCAAGUGAGUUAAAACUUGAAGAGAUUGUGUAAGAGCCCAUUGGAGUCGGAAUCCAAGUGUAAAGGUGAUUAAAAGCUUGGUUGAAGCUUCAAGUUAGUGGAACUCUCACUCGGUUAUGAGCUUGAGAAGAGUGGACAUAGACAAGGCAGUGUCGAACCACUAUAAAAUCUGAGUUUGAUUUCUCUAACCUUAUCUCUUUAUAUUUGCUUCUCUUGUGCUUAAAUUUUUUGUGUUUAAAAAGAAUUUUUAAAAACUCAAUUCACCCCCUUCUUGGGAGUUUUUCUCUUUUAAGAUCAGCUUUUAUUUUCUCAAUUGGUAUCAGAACUAUGCCUCUUGUUUAAGACUUAAUCGUCUAAGAGGAAAUGGCUAAUCCAUCAAGUUCAUCUCACAUUGAAAGUUUUGCAACCAAUAGACUUCUUUUUUUUUUUUUGCGGGAACUGAUUAUCCCUAUUGGAAAACUAAAAUGACUUGGUUUUUACAAUCAAUUGAUUUAGAUGUAUGAGAUGCCAUUGAAGAUGACCUAACUUUUCCUUCAAAACUAGUUGAUGGAGUCAUGGUUCCAAAACCUAAGCAAGAAUGGGAUGAGCGUGAUUGAAGAAAUUUUCAAUUAAAUGCUAAAGUCGUUUAUACUUUGCAAUGCUCUAUGGACAGAAAUGAAUAUAAUAGAAUAUGUCAAUGCAAAUCGGUUAAAGAAAUUUGGAGAUUGCUUGAAAUAACUCAUAAAGGAACAAAUCAAGUUAAAGAGUCAAAAAUCAAUUUACUUGUUCAUAGAUAUGAAUUGUUUUUUAUGAAAGAUAAUGAAACUAUUGUUAAGAUGAUCACUAGGUUCACCAACAUUGUUAAUGGUCUUAAAGCCUUGGGAAAGACCUACAAGGAAUCCGAAAACGUGAUGAAGAUCUUGAGGUCACUUCCAUCAAAGUGGCAUACCAAGGUCACCGCAAUUUAAGAAGCAAAAGACUUGAUCAAGCUACCUUUGGAGGAGUUCAUAGGGUCAUUGAUGACAUAUGAAAUCAAUUUGGCAAAGAAGUAACAAAAAGGUGAAGACAAAAAGAAGAAGAACAUAACUCUCAAAGCUACAACUAAGGAAGAAGAAGUUGAAGAAGAAAAACAAAUUGAAGAAGAUGAAGAUUUAGCCCUCAUCACAAGAAAGUUCAACAAAUUCAUGAGGGGUGAAAGGUUUAGAAGAAGAAGGUUCACUUCUAGAAGAGACUUUUCUAAAAAGGAAUCUUCAUCUAAUGGUGACAAAAAGAGAUGGGAAGAGAAAAGAGACUUGGUGUGUUUCAAGUGCAAGAAACCGGGACACAUUAAAUAUGAUUGUCCUCUCUACAAAAGUGAAGUCAAGAGGAAAAAGAAUAAGGCAAUGAUGGCCACUUAGAGUGAAAGUGAAGAUGAAUCAUCCGAAGAAGAAAAUGAGAAAGAAGUGGCAAACAUGUGUUUCAUGGCAAUAGAUGAACUUGAUGAGGUAAAAUCUAACCUUAGUGAUUAAGAUAUACAUGAUGCAUUUGAAGAAUUGUAUGAGGAUUUUUAAAAACUUAGUUUGAAAAAUAUUUCUCUUAAAAAGAAAGUUCAACAACUUGACAAAGAACUUAGAGAAGUAAAAGAAAAAUUUUCAAAUGUUAAAGUUUCUAAAACUCAUCUUGAAAAAGAAAAUGAGAUUCUAAGAAAGAAAAAUGAAUAGUUGAACUCCUCUCUUUCAAUCUUUUCUUCUAGACAAAAAUCUUUUGAAAUGAUUCUAACUAGCUAAAAAUGUGUUUUUGACAAACAAGGGUUAAGAUUUAAAUCUUCAAAAAAUCAAAAGUAUUUUAAAAACUAUUUUGUAAAGGAAUCCACAAGUGCAAGUCCUUCCACUACUUGCAACUUUUGUGGAAGAGAAUGGCACAUUAGUAGUACGCCCUUUAAGAAAUGGUUCUCAAAAGAAUUUAAAUGCAAAAACUAAAAAAGAUUUGGAUUGAGAAAUCCAAGGUCACUAACCCUCAAGGACCCAAAAAGAUAUAGGUACCUAAAUCAACUUGAGUUUUAUGUUGUAAGGUUCAAAGAAUGAUAAGUGGUUCUUAGAUAAUGGUUGCUCAAGACACAUGACCGGAGAUGAAUCCAAGUUUGCUUUUCUUAAAAAGAAAAAUGGAGGAUAUGUUACCUUUGGAGACAAUGCAAAAGAAAGGAUGAUUGGUCAAGGCAACAUUGGUAAUGGCACAUCCUCUCUCAUUGAAAGUGUUUUAUUAGUAGAUGGUUUCAAACAUAACCUUUUAAGCAUUAGUCAAUUUUGCGACAAAGGUUUUUAAGUGAUUUUUUAAGCAUCUCAUUGCAUCAUCAAGGAUAUUCAAAAUGAUAAAACCAUUUUCAUGGGCCAUAGAUGUGAUAAUGUUUAUGCUAUAAAUAUUUCAAAAUAUGAUGGCCAUGAUAGAUGUUUUUCAAGCAUGCAUGAUCAAAGUUGGUUGUGCCAUAGGAGAUUGAGACAUGCUAACAUAGACCUCAUUUCCCAACUCAACAAAGAUGAACUUGUUAGAGGCCUUCCCAAAAUAAUUUUUUAAAAAGAUAAAGUUUGUGAAGCUUGUCAAGUGGGAAAGUAAAUCAAAAACUCUUUUAAAAACAAAAACUUCAUUUCCACAUCUAGGCCACUUGAGUUGUUGCAUAUGGAUUUAUUUGGUCCCUCUAGGACACCAAGUCUUAGAGGAAAUUCUUAUGCAUAUGCUAUUGUGGACGACUUCUCUAGAUACACAUGAGUCUUGUUUUUUAGUCAAAAGAAUAAAGUUUUUUAUGAGUUUUCAAAGUUUUGCAAUAAGAUUCAAAAUGAAAAAGGUUUUUCAAUUACUUAUAUAAGAAGUGAUCAUGGGAGAGAAUUCGAAAAUAUUGAUUUUGAAGAGUAUUGCAAUGAGCAUGGAAUUGACCACAAUUUUUUGGCUCUUAGAACUCCUCAACAAAAUGGGGUAGUUGAAAGGAAAAAUAGAACUCUUCAAAAAAUGACAAGAACCAUACUAAAUGAAAACAACUUACCAAAAUAUUUUUAGGCCAAAACGGUUAACACUUCUUGUUAUGUUUUAAAUAGAGUAUUAUUGAGGCUCAUACUUAAGAAAACUCCCUAUGAGCUUUGGAAAAACAAAAAACCCAACAUUAGUUAUUCCAAAGUCUUUGGAUGCAAUAUUUUAUAAUAAACACCAAAGACAAUCUUGGAAAAUUUGAUGCAAAAUUGGAUGUUGGAAUUUUCCUUGGUUACUCAACUUCAAGUAAAGCUUUUCGAGUUUUAACAAAAGAACCAUGGUUGUAGAGGAGUCCAUCCAUGUUAUUUUUUAUGAAUCUCCAAGAAAGAGAGAGGAUUGAUGAUGAUUUAGGUUUGAAGACCUCUAUAGGAAGAUUGCAAAUCGAAGAUAGAAGACAACAAGAAGAAAAUGGAGAGAAUCCAAAGAAAGAAGGAUCACCAUUGGCACUACCCCCUCAUCAACAAGCGCAAGGUGAAUCAAGUCAAGAGCUUCCUAAAGAAUGGAAGUUUGUCAUCAAUCACCCACAAGAUCAAAUUAUAGGCAAUCCAUCUAGUGGGGUAAGAACUAGAUCCUCUCUUAGAAAUAUUUGCAAUAAUCUAGCUUUUAUCUCUCAAAUUGAGCCUAAAAAUAUAAAUGAUGUUUUAGAUGAUGAAAAUUGGAUAAUUGCAAUGCAAGAAGAGUUAAAUCCAUUUGAAAGAAGUGGAGUAUGGGAAUUAGUACCAAGACCUUCAAAUCAAAGUGUUAUUGGAACUAGAUGGAUCUUUAGAAAUAAAAUGGAUGAAAAUAGCAUAAUUGUUAGAAAUAAAGCAAGAUUGGUAGCCCAAGGUUUUAAUCAAGAAGAAAUGAUAGAUUAUGAAGAAACCUUUGCCCCCGUAGCUAGGUUGGAAGCCAUUAGGAUGCUACUUGCCUUUGCAUGUUUUAAAGACUUUGUUUUAUAUCAAAUGGAUGUGAAAAGUGCUUUUUUAAAUGGUUUUAUAAAUGAAGAAGUAUAUGUUGAACAACCACCCGGUUUUCAAAGUUUCAACUUUCCUAACCAUGUUUUUAAACUUAAAAAGACACUUUAUGGUUUGAAACAAGCACCUAGAUCAUGGUAUGAAAAAUUGAGUAAAUUUCUUUUGAAAAAAAUGUUUUAAAAUGGGAAAAAUUGACACAACUCUUUUUAUAAAAACCAAAGAAAAUGAUAUGCUCUUAGUUCAAAUAUAUAUUGAUGAUAUCAUUUUUGGUGCUACUAAUGUCUCUCUUUAUGAAGAAUUUUCUAAGUGCAUGCAUAGUGAGUUUGAAAUGAGCAUGAUAGGAGAACUCAACUUCUUCCUUGGACUUCAAAUCAAGCAACUAAAGGAAUGAACCUUCAUCAAUCAAGCAAAGUAUAUAAGAGAUCUUCUCAAAAGGUUCAACAUGGAAGAAGCCAAAACAAUGAAGACUCUAAUGAGCUCAUCCAUUAAGCUUGAUAAGGAUGAGAAAGGUAAAUCCAUUGACUCUAUUAUGUAUAGAGGCAUGAUAGGUUCUUUGCUCUAUUUGACCACUAGUAGACCUUACAUUAUGUAUAGUGUGUGUUUGUGUACUAGAUUUCAAUCUUGUCUUAAAAAAUCUCACUUAAGUGUCGUGAAAAGAAUCCUCAAAUAUUUGAAAGGGACAAUGGACAUAGGCUUAUGGUAUCCUAAGAGUGAUAACUUUGAAUUAAUUGGUUUUUUGGAUGCUGAUUUUGUCAGUUGUAGGGUUGAAAAAUAAAACACUAGUGGCACUUUUCAUUUCUUAAGACACUUACUUGUCUCAUGGCAUAAUAAGAAGCAAAAUUUGGUAGCUUUGUCAACAGCAGAAGCUAAAUACAUAGCAACUGGUUUAUGUUGUGCACAAAUCCUUUGGAUGAAAUAAACACUUAGUGAUUUUGAUUUAUCUUUUGAGCAUAUUCCUAUUAAAUGUGAUAAUAGUAGUGCCAUAAGUAUAUCAAAAAAUCUCGUGCAACACUCUAGGACUAAGCAUAUAGAGAUUAGACAUAAUUUUCUUAGAUAUCAUACACAAAAGGAUGAUAUAACACUUGAAUUUGUAAGCAUAAAAGACCAACUUGCCGAUAUCUUUACAAAACCUCUAAGAACAUUUUGUUGAUAUUAGAGGACAAUUAGGAGUGAUUUCUUUAUGAUCUAAUGUGAUGAAUUCUUGAUGAAUAUACUUUUUGAUUGCAUGAAUUUCAUGUCAUAUAUGCAUCAUAUAGAAAUAUACUUAGAUAAUGGUCAAAUUUCGACCAAAAAUCAAAAUUCCCAUGGCAUUAGGCAUAAAAAUUUUGGAAUUUCAACUGAAAAUGGUAGGAGGAGGAUCACAAAAUGAGAAAGUAUGCAAAAAUUGAAAAAUCAAAACGUUGACCAAGCGGUCAAUCGGACUAGACCGAUCGACUAGUUUGUCGAGAUUUAGGAUUUUUAAGAGACUCCAACGCUUCAAUUUUUGCACCGUUCUCCUCUAUUUCUUCACGGUUUCUCUGAUUUUGUCUUUUAGAGACUAAUUUGAGUGCGUUUUGGAUCAAUUGAAGCAUUUUGGAUUGGAUUUUAGGAAGAUUGAAAGUUAAGGUUUCGGAUUUGGGUCGCCUUCUCUUCCUCUCGCGUGUCACAAUCAGCUUUAGCAUUGUUCUCUUUCCAUUUUCACACACCUAGGGUUUCAGUUGUGAGCAUCUCUCUCUCUUUACCAACCACUACUCCCUUGCUUCUUCCAUAUGGCUCCUAGGCGAGAGUCCGCUACUUCUAGGGCACAAGGCAAGCACCCAACUGAGUCGUCUCAGUCAAAGGCACGUCGAAAAGUGAGAUUUGACAUUGCCUUGUUCAGUUCCAUGGAGGACUACCAACUAUACAAGCAACACUUUGCUUAGAGACGAGUAGUUCCCAAGAGAAAUAUUAAUUUUCCUCAACUUCAGCAUUUCGAAUUUAAGGGUCUAUUUACUAGGAUGGUUGGUUGUCUAUUGUCACAAUUUCGGAGCCGGUUUUCCUGACCUUAGUGCGAGUUUUUUACUCGAGGGCGACUUAUGGCAUGGGUGGCAUGAUCAUUUCUACUGUUGGAGGAGUUGAGAUCUGUCUGGACCCAGAGAGCAUCUGCCAUAUUUUCGAUAUUGCUCUGGUUGGACUCAAAGUAUACAAGUCCAAAAUGUGGCCCAUUGUGCCAGGAUUUGAGCUUAGAGAGGUCAUUCAGAGGAUUUGUGAACUUCCAGACGCCCAGGAGAUGGGCAAACCAUUGCCACACAGUUUGACGGUCAUCAACAGGGUGCUACACCAUAUAUUGUGCUCUAUCUUUCUACCACGAAGUGGACAUUGAGAUGAGGUCUCUUAUUAUGAGGCAUUCCUUAUUGACUCCAUUCUAACGGAGAGACGAAUUCAUCUACUAUGUCAUCAUUCACUAAGCCUCCUCACAGUGACAUACCACCUCAUCAGGCACCUCUUGCUCCUGACCAUGCUCCAUUGAUGGAUUUAUUUACUCAUAUUAGCUCUCUAGGCACUCGCAUGAAGGAGUUUGUUGUAGUUAGUGAUACAUGGUUCUACUCCAUAGAGGAUCGCAUGGAUCAGUAUCAGACUGGCUUCACGUCACAGUUUGAGUAUCUCCAAUAGAGGAUUGAGCAUAUUGAGGAUCACUUGAGCAUGAGAAGAUGAUGGCUUUUCUAUGCUCUGUGUUUCCACCUCCACCUCGUCAACCUUGAUUUCUUAGAGACCCAUUGUUUUCAUUUUGUAAUGUUGCCAAAAGGGGGAGAUAUUUAGGAUCUAGGACUCUAUAGGAGACUUACAUGCAUAUCAUUUUCAUAUCAUUGUUUGGAUCGUACAUAUUGGAUAGUGAUACUUUUUACUUAUAUAUGAUAUGCCUAUAUGUUUCAUGUCUUACAUUGUUUCUUAUUGCAAAUUAUCUCUAACAUGUCUUGAUUAUCUUUUUUUUAACUUCAUAAAUUUUGAUUGUUAACCCAUGAUUGGUUUGAGGGGAAGAUUCUUCUUCUCCUAGAUAACCAAGGUUUGUCAUCAUAAAAAAAUUGGAGAUUGUUAGCCCAAGGGUUCUCCUAAUCAUGUUUUGAUGAUAACAAACCAUGCUUAAGUUACUAAUUGGUUUGAAUUAUAAAGAAUUUCAAGUGUUAAUUUGAAAAUUCAUCAAAGAACCUAAUGGAUGCAAGAUCAAGAUUUUUGGAAGACCUUUAAUCAUAAGAAACAUAUGUAAGAUGAAUGCAUGGGUGCACUUAAGAUUUGCAUAUCAUUUCAUGCAUAUUUGGAAAACACGGUUUAUGCUUUAAAGUUACAUUUCCAUCAAAAUUUGAGAUCCAUCAAAUGAACCUUAGGAAAAAUGUUUUAAAAUUGGCAUAUAAUUUUACCUAAAGACCUUGCCUAAGUGUUAGAAGCAAAAGGACAAAAAAAAUAUAGGUUUUCUGGUCAAAAAUGGUGAACCAGUCAAGGCAUUGUCUAAAUCAGCUCAAUCGGCCAAGGUACCGGUCGAUCGGUUUCCCUUUCCCUGUCGAGAUCUAGUCAAGAGGUACAAAAAUCACAAUCUCUGUCUCUUUCUCUCUUUGUCUAUCUUCCAGUAGUCUUUCCUUCCCGGUCGAGGGAUUUGCCUUCCCGAUUGAGGUCCGAUUGAGAGUAAUAGUCACUUGCCAAAUAUUAAAUGCUCCAACAGUUAGUGAACUGGUCGACCCCCACCUUGCCCAGUUGAGGUUACUUUUUGGUUUUCUUGGCUCCCGAUGUUAGAAACCUAUAAAUAGAGAGUUCCACUUCAUUUAUGAGCAAGAGAACACUUGCAUUUAUUUGUUUACCUACUUGUUCUUGCCUUAAAAGCUCUCAUUUCUUUUCUUGGUGCAUUAAAUCUCCAUUUUGAUAUCCUUUAGUGCACCUUUGUGAUUCAUCUUAGCCUUGAGUUGUAUUUGAGCCCUUUUUUUAGCUAGGUUGAGAGUUUCAUACUUGUUAAUUGAGUGUUAAAGCCUUCAAGUGAGUUGAAACUUGUAGAGAUUAUGUGAGAGUCGAUUGGAGCCGAAAUCCAAGUGUAAAGGUGAUUAGAAGCUUGGUUGAAGCUUCAAGUUAGUGGAAUCCUCACUCAAUUAGGAGCUUGAGGAGAGUGGACGUAGCCAAGGAAGUGUCGAACCACUAUAAAAUUUGAGUUUGAUUUCUCUAACAUUGUCUCUUUAUAUUUGUUUAUCUUGUGCUUAAAUUUAUUGUGUUUAAAAAGAAUUUUUAAAUACCCAAUUCACCCCCCUCUUGGGUGUUUUUCUCUUUUAAAAUUAGCCUUUAUUUUCUCACAAACUAUUGUAGUAUAGUGGUUUUUAGGUGUCAUCCAUUAGGAUGAAUUGUUCUCGGUAAUUAAGGCGUGAAUGAGAGGAGAAUUAAUGAUUGUGAUUAAGUAAAAUUGAUUUGAAAAUUCAUGGUGAAAAAUCAAUUUAACAAUGGUUUCUAAUUGAGAAAAACAAUGAAAUGUGAAAUAAAAUAAAAUUAAUAGGAAAUGAAAUUCUCGAAGUUAGAAUUUUCUAAAAAACAAAUUCCAUGGUGAAUGGAUGUUGAGAUCUAAUUUUCAUCAAGUUAGAUUGAAAACCGAAAUUUUCAUAUAAACUGAUUUUUUAUUUAGUUUUAGGUCUAGAUUUAAUUUCCCUUAAAAUUAGGUUAUUUAAUCCAAGAAAUCAAUUCAAAUCAUAUAUUCAAUUCAUCUUAAAUUAUCUUCCAAUUAUUCACACAAUGCAACUAUUCAAUCUCAUCAAAUCUAGCUUUUAAGAAUUUAAUGAAUCUACCUAGUUUGCAUUGUAAUAGUCAUCCAUGACAAUUUGAAGAGAAAAAUAAUUCAAUUAAUCAAUCACUUGGAUCAAAUUACCUUUGCAAUUAAAGUUCAUUUCUCUAAUUCACCACAGAUUUUGUCUCUAGAUCCUCCUUUCUCAAAGAAAAAUGAGAUUUAGCCACACAUGAUUGGAGAUUUGGUCUCAUAAGGCAUGUUUAGCUAGUGAUAAAAUGAGAGAAAAUAAAGAAAAAUAGAGAAUUCGAUUAAGAAAGAAAAUCUAAAAAAUUCUACAAUUAGAAAUGUCCAAAAAGCUUUUUCAUGAGAAAAUCAAGUUUCUAUUUAUAGGCCAAGGUCAAGUGGACACUUGACAUCAUCUAAGAGGUCUUCCGGAAGCUUCUUCAUCAAGAAAUCUGGAGUUUAAUAAUAAAAUGGUCAUUUCACAAGAGCUCAAACAAUUUCGCAUGAUUAUGUGAAAUAAAAAAUGCAACAACAGCAAUUUACAUCUUCUUGGAGCAUUUCGCAUGACUGUGUGAAAUUUUCACAUGAUCAUGUGGAAUCGACUUGACAACUCUCAUUUAGCCUACAACAUAAUUCCACCUUUUGGUCCAUUUUUCAUAGUCAUGCGAAAUGGAAAUAUUUGAUUUUUAAGUUUUCUUUUGUCAUUUCUUUCAUUUCCUUCUCUUGAUUCCACUUCAACUACCUCCGAAUCCUGGUCCAAACCAAUUGCAUUACUUCUUUCAUUAUGCAUUUGGAUCAUCAUCAACAUUAUUUGUUCUCUUCAAUUUGAUUCAUCUCUUUUGUCACCAAUUUAUCAAAAUCAUACCUUGAAAUGACUCCAAAACUUCAUAAAACUUGUUAGUAACUCUUGCAAGGGCAACAACAUAUUAAUUAAGUGUUUUAGGCAUAGUUACUACUCAAAAGAUGCGAAACUCAUGAUAAUUAUUAUAUAAAAUAUGCUCUUUUUGAGUAGUAAUCAACUUUCUUGCAUAAGCAGACCUUUUAGGGUGGAGUACUAAAGACCAAUAUGCUUGUCCUUGUUGUAAUAAAGAAACUUGCUCUUAUUGAUUGCACCAUGGGAGAAAAUUUUGCUACAUGAGUUAUCAUCAAUUUCUUCCCACCAAUCAUAGAUUUAGACGUGACAAGAGGCCUCUUAAUGGCAAGGAGGAACUGACACUCACACUUAUACAAUUAUCGGGCAUUGAUGUGUUGCAACAAUUAGAAUAACUUACACCAAUUAUGUUGGGGAAGUCACAAAAGGCAAACAUGAAAACUAAAAGGAAAAAAGAAAAAUGUUACAUAUCACCACAACUGGAAAGAAAAAAGUAUUUACUUUCAUUUGCCAUAUUGGAAAGCACUUAUUUUACAUCAUAAUAAUUUAGACAUAAUGCAUAUUGAGAAAAAUGUGUGACAAUAUAAUUGAGACAUUGUUCAGUAUUGACGAAGAAACAAGGACAACCUAAAUAGUCAUCUCGAUUUACAAGCUCUAACUAUUAGAAAUGAGAUUCACCCAAUAGAAAGCAGGACCAAAUUUAUUUUGCUUGCAACAUGCUACUCACUCACCCCAAAUGAGAUUAAGGAAUUUUGCAAGUUUUUGAAAUCAAUAAAGGUCCCCAAUGGCUAUUCUUUCAAUAUCUCUCGUUAUGUGCAACUCAAUGAAAGGAAGAUAUAUGAGCUCAAAUUGUAUGAUUGUCAUGUCCUAAUGCAACAACUUCUCUCACUUGUAGUUCGUGGAGUUCUACAUAAGAAUGUUUGUGGAGUUAUCAUAGAAUUGCGUAAUUUUUUCAAGCAAUUGUGCUCAAAGGUGUUAGAAACAAAUCACUUACACCAACUUGAGAACAAUAUUAUUGUCAUACUAUGUAAAAUGGAGCAAAUAUUUCUUCCAUCAUUCUUUGAUAUUAUGGUGCAUUUACUUGUGCAUCUAGUAAGGCAAAGGUUGCAAGACUUGUGCAAUAUUGUUGGAUGUACCUAAUUGAACGAUAUUGUUAUAAUUUCAUAUGAAUCAUUUAAUUUUAUUUUAUAUUAUGUUCAGUUCAUUAACAUGUACAUUGGUCUACAUAUGGAUGAUGAUAGGUACCUAAGCACUUUAAAGUCAUAUGUGCGUAAUAGAACUUUUCUAGAAGGUUCUAUUGUAGAAAGGUACCUUGCAAAAGAAUGUACAACAUUUUAUUCUAGGUACUUGAAUGAUGUGGAAAUAAAGUAUAAUCACAAUGAUAGAAACUUUGUUGGUUUCAACACUAGAGGAGAUGAAAGGGGUUAUCUUUAAACAUAUUGGACAUGCAUUGGGAAAGCCCAUAUUUCAUUAACUUAGUUCAAAAGAGUGGUCACAAGCACAUUUAUAUGUGUUGACAAAUUGCGAAGAUGUCAUACCAUUCAUUGAGUAAAAAAUUUAUUUGAAUUUUAAUUAAAGCUCUAGUUUAUAUCCUUAAUCAAUGUUUUUUAAAUUCACAAGGAGCACAAGCAAACCAUCAAGGCUAGACCACAUAUACGUGUUUGAGACGUAGAUUUAAUUCAUAACAAGGAAUUUAUCAAGUGGUUUGAAAGACAUGUAAGUAUAUUCCUUAUUAUAAGGGAUUUAUUUCACAUUAUGUUUAUAUUGAAUCCAAACCUAUUAUUGAAUUGUAGGUUGAACAAUUACAUAAUGAAGGUCAUAUAUCUGAACACCUUCUCACAUUAUCAUGUGUUCCAAAUUCAUUAGUUACAUGCUUCAAAUGAUAUAUUGUCAAUGGAUUUAGAUCCCACAUUAAAGAACGUGAUAAAAAAGUUUUUAAAAAAAGACUCAGAAUAAUGGAAUUGUUGUAGUUGCAAAAACGUCAAGCUUUACAAGUGCAUGUGAUAUGAGUCCAAUUAUUAGUGAUGCUCUCUACUAUGGUGUUCUAACUAAAGUUGUUGAGUUACAUUAUCUUGGUGAAAAUAAGGUUGUUUUAUUCGAGUUUGAUUGGUGGGAUGUUACAAAUAUUGGAAAAUUGAUAAAAGAUGAUGAGUACAAUUACACAUUUGUUAACUUUGCAUGAAUUCUAACCACGAACGAACGAUUUGUACUUGCAUCUCCAGCAAAGUAAGUGUUCUAUGUGAAGAAUGCGAAUGAAUCAGAUUGGCAUACUAUCAUGGAGAUGCAACCUCAAGACCUCUAUAAGAUGAACGGGAUAGGAUCCAAUGGUGAUUUUGAACCAUUUCAACAAAGUGAACUACAUGAUCACUAAUAUAUCUCAGAUUUAGUUGAUGAAGAUAUAAUCAAGUGGAACAAAAGUGAUGUUUUAGGACUAAUCAUCCUAAAAAAUAUUGUAGUUUCUUAAAAAAAAAAUGAAAAUGAAGAAGAUAAUUGAACCUUUGUCAUACUUUAAAAAGCAACUAUGCAUUGUUCAUUUUGUAUGUUUUGGUUUUCUUCAUUUAAUUUCCUGAUUUUUGUGAUUCAAUGUCAUAUUAUUGAUCUUGAAAUAUUUUUCUAAUUUUUCAUUCUACGAUGGUUUCAACAAGGAUGACAUCAAGUCAAAAAAGGAAAUGUGGUCCCACACACAAUAUUGCAUUACAGGGAUUAAGGUCAGGGAAGAAGGUAAAAGUUGCAUUUAAUGAGUACAAUCAAUUGGUUAAACAGAAAAAUGGAAAACACUUAUCGAGCUACAUAGGGACACUUGUAUCUAACCAACACAAUGUACCUCUCCAAGCUAGUGAUUGGAAAAAUGUUCCAAAUGAUGCAAAAGAGAAAGUAUGGCCUUUGUUUUGGUAUGUUGUAUUUCUCACUAUAUGAUGUCAUUUCACUGUUAUUCUAUUUUGUGACUAACGUUUGAAUCAUAUGUAAGAAAAAUUUGAAGUAGAUAAAGACUGAAAAGAUUACAUGUUGGGUAUAGCCUCAAAUAAAUAUAGAAGCUAUAAAAAUAUGAUGAAUGCAAAAUACUAUGACCCUUGGCAUAAGGAUGCAUGAGGAGAGGUUAAUACAUAAAUCACCAUUUGUCUCUGAUGUUGAUUGGAAGUGGCUUGUCUCUGAUGCAUAAACCAAAUCCCCCACUGAAUGUUUGAUAUUUGAUAGCAGGAAAAACACACCCGCAGCUAUACACCUCCAUCAUUCAGAUAAUUAUAGUGGGGGAGAUGAUUCAUGGUUGCCCUUAUACCCUUUAUUUGCACCAUCUAUUGAGAUUCUUUAUCAUGGCCAGGUUUUACUGCAGCAAUAAGAUAUGGUGGCAACAAUUUUAUCUAUAGGUGCGGUUCCAGACCGCCUCCAUAGGUGCGGUUCCUGACUGCCUCCAUAGGUGCCUCUUCUUGUAAUGUUUGUUCUGGGAAUUACACUUGAAAGCCUUAUCGUGAUAAGGGAUUACAAACACUAGUUCAGAGGACAGCCAUGUUAAACUUCCACUAUGUUUGUGUCACAUUAUCAGCAGCCUAGUGUUUAUUGGUCAUGCUAUCUGCAACUAAUAUAACCCGGUGAACUUCAAUCUAAAUUCUGAAAGUACUCAUGUGACAGAUGGUGCCUUUCAGCAGAUAUCAUCAAUUUAAAAGUAGUGUGUGUGCCUAUAGGUGGGAAGGCCUUGGCAAAUGUUCAGUAUUCCGGUAAUUCAAGAAGGAUAUAUCUAAAAUAGAUUUUCUUCUUGCCCAUUUCAAUAGUUAAAAUUUGAGAAGAUUGUGUCCACAUCACACAAAUAUUAUUGGUCCUUCUGUUGCAAUUUACCUCUGAACAUGUCUUCCAAUUCCCACGGUCCUGUUACUCCAGGAAAACUAUUUCGGUCAUAUUGAAAAAAAAAAUAUUAAAGAAGGUACACAUGCUUUUAAGUGGACUGGGGCAUUCAUAUCAGGUGGUCUGUAUCCACAUAUGCCACUUCGUGAAAGGUGGAACAGCCUAAUCACUAGGCUAUUUAGUGUGGCCCAGCCACGUUAAUCAAGCACAAGUCUUCAUACUUAAAGUCAAAUGGUGUCUUUAGUCUCAUUACACAUCGCUAUUUGAAGAUUAACUCAUCACUAGUGUAAUGCGAUUAAGACAGUCCUAACUCAAUAUUUGUUCUAGUUUUGGAUGCAAAUGCUUGCUGGUUUCAUCAUUGGAUGGGAUAAAGGUGCAAUCAGGACUAUGAAUACGUGCAGUAAUACUUCAUUCUCUUUUUUCUCAAUGAGACUUCUUGGCACAAUUUUGCUGCUCAGCAACCUACCUUUCCAUGGAAAAUCAGUUGUGACUGAUAGUAAUGGAUAUAUUCUAGAAAGCUAAACAUAGAUAGCAUUCAAUAUUAUCGAUAUAACAUUAACAGCGUAUGUCUCAAUGCUCAUCAGCUACAAGCAAUGGACAAACACUUUGAGUAACUCACAGCAGUCAAAAUUCCUAAACAGGACAGACGUGACAGAUCUAUAUAUAGAACACUGCAUAUGAGUCACAGGAAAAGAUAAUACGGGUACAUAGAAGCUCUUAUUUUACAUAUUACUCAUACUGAUCAAAGUCGCUCAGUUGGGAUGGAUGGGAGAAGGAGGUUUGAGGGGUGGCUUGUGCGGGGAAGUUGGCAGCUUCUUUCCGGGAGCUGGUUGCUUCUUUGCUGGAGUUGAAGGAGGCUUAAUCUUCCGAGGUGGCUUGUAUGAGUCUUCAGCAUUCUCAGCAGGAGGGUGACCAGGGUUGUGACCAUAAUGUGGUGGCUUCUCUCCCUUAGGUGGUUUGCCAACUGGGGUUGGUGGCUUGUUUUCUGGGAGUGGCUUCUCUCCCUUGGGUGGUUUGCCAACUGGGGUUGGUGGCUUGUGUUCUGGGAGUGGCUUCUCCCCCUUGGGAGGUUUUUCGAAUGGGGUGGGUUUGUGUCCUGGUGGUGGCUUCUCUCCCUUGGGAGGUUUACCAAUUGGGGUCGGUGGCUUGUGUUCUGGGAGGGGCUUCUCUCCCUGGGGAGGUUUAGUGGGUGGCUUGUGUUCUGGAGGUGGCUUCUCCACCGGAGGCUUAUGCUCUGGUGGUGGCUUCUCGAAGGGGGGAUGCUCAGGGUAAUCACCAAGUGAGGGGGUGGUGAGAACCACCAUGCCAAGCAACAACACUAGCAAGUAUGUAGUAGACAUCUUUGGGUUUGGACUCAGACAGUGCAAAACUACGAGAAAUCGCUAGCCCUUUAUAGCGGCUCGGACCUAAUACUGACAUAAUAUAAAAUAAAUAUUAUAUUUUAUCAAGAGAGAACAGAGUGUAAUUUUAUCAUUAAUACCGAUCGAGGCCAAAGAAAGAAGACCCAUAAUCCAUUUCCCACAAGCAUACACAAUGCAGCUGUAAUUUUAUCAUUUACUUUUAUCCCUUGGACCACUGCAUUUUUGUUGAGAGACACAAUAACACAUUUUUAUCUGUCAUUCAACAUUUACAGUAAAGAGAGGGCACAAAACGCAAUUAGAUAAAUUAUGUUUUGCCUGCUAAAAAGAGGCAAAUAACUUUAUUUGCAACAUAAUUAUUUUGGUUUCUAGUGACCCCGGGGCCUUUCGGUUGGUUUGGGAUCGGAAAAUGAACAUCAUAGGGGGGGUUGUGCCCUUAUGGGCAUAUAUAUCUGAUAGCUUCAACUGGCCUUGUUCCUAGAAAGAAAUUGCCAAAGAUAUAAACUUAUUCCAGGCUGAAAGUAGAUGAGAGUCAUAAUGAACAUCAACCUUUGUUCAGUUUGAUUCAAUGCCCCCAUAGUGUUCAUUUCACAGAUCUGAAUGAUUAUAUCCGUUGAAUACAUAAAUUAAUGAAGACAAAUAUGAAACCCAAGAUACAUCUCUGCAUAACAACCCCAACCCUGGUUGCUAUGUUUCCCUUCUUCUAUUCACAUGAGGAUACUGGUUAUAAUUGUCAAACUUGCAACAAGCCCUUUGACACCUAACGUCAAUGGACGAAUUAAAAGUCUCCUUCAAACGUCUAUUUCACAGCAUGAAGCUUAUAAAGGAUGCUGACAACCUUCAGAGUUAGCGACAAAAGAUAAUUAUCAAGGAGAGAUAGUUCCAUGAGAAUUCCAAGGAGUCUGAAUCAAAGACAAAUUGCUCACUCAAGGGUUCUUAUUUUCUUUUAGGUACAAAUCUCUUGAGUGUUGUUAAAGAAACACGUCACUGUCAUUUUGAUUUGCAUUUAACAUUUCACUUUUGUUCUGGAAGGUUUGUUCCGGAAACAUAUCAAAUGAGCAUCAUUUUCUUCUUCGGUGACACAUGGUCGCGAGUACGUGGGUCCAUUUUCAUGCCACUUAGUUGAAAAGUUGGAAAGAAAAAACAUGCCAACAAGAAGAUAGUGAGAGAAGGGGCACUUCAAGCCUUUAACAUGAACAAACAGUAAAUAAAAGAUGUUUCUCCACUCAUAAAAGUGUGUUAGAUAGCAAUAUAACGAAUCACAUCCAAAAUCUUUACUAGGCUCAAACAUAAAGAAGACUCAUUUUUAAGAAAAGAUAAAAAUGGCAUUGUCUGAUAGUAUCCAAUACACGAGAUGGCACUUAAUUUGUACAAGAUCUGUCAAUGCUGACGCACAUUUUCUGAUUAAAAAAAAACUGAUCAGUCAAAAGCAAUGAAGAGAAGUGAUGACAAUGAAUGAUGCUUCCAAUAUUUUCACCCCUUAUAGUGUUCUUCAUGAUUCAGAUAUAUAAUUGGAAAUAGAACAACCCUAUGCCAUACAUUCGUCUAAGUAUGGUGUCUAAUUUUUUGUGUCAGCGGUUGCGAAUGGAGCGUGCAAAAGUCCAAAUUGGCGUCUCUCCAUUUCCACAUAGGAAGGUGACCUUUAUUGACAAAUACCCAAUAUUUGUAGACAUUCCUUAAAUAUCAUAACUUCUUGUUGAUUUGAAAAUCAUUUUUCAACUACCAUGUUUUAAUAAAUAUUUUUUAAAAUGUAUUUUUAUCAAAGUCCACCAUGAUGGAUAAUAUUCACCAUGCAAUAAUUAAUAAAGUACAAACUAAGCGAAAUGAAAAGCAUUUUCUUUGCUUUGAGUUGAUUUUGGUUGCAUUGAGUUGAUUUUGGUUUCAUGGUUUUUUCAACUCUUAUUUUGAUUGGAAGAUGUCAAGAAAAGAAAACAUAAAGAAAAAUUAAAAGGGAAAAAAGAAGAAAAAUAAAAAAAAAUAGAUUUAAAAGUUAAUAAAUUAUUUUUUAUAUUUAUUUUAAUUCAUUUCACUUAUUUUUCUUUUACUAUAUAAAAUUUAAAUAAUUUAAAUUUUAUAAUUAAUUUAAUUACAUUUCAUUUUCUUCUAUAUUUAAAUAUUGGAAAAAUAUUUUACUUAAUAUUUUUUUCUUUAAUUUCUUUGGCAUUUUGGGAACCAAACUUAGCCUUUAAAAUAAAAAACAAAAAAAAAAUGAAAAUAAGGAGGGAAAAGUGAGAAAAGAUAAAAACAAUAUGUAAAGGAUUUGAAAAGUAUUAGUUUGUAAUUACUAUUUGGAUUUCAAUAGUAUUUUAUUUGUCUUUCUAUAUUUCAUGUAAGAGAGAAUUUAAGAUAUUCCCCAAGGCAAAGCAUUAGUUACCUGCAAUCAGUGGUGAUAAGGCUCCAAGCCAAUUUUGGGCCCCAUAUCUUAAGACAGUACAAUUUCCAUUUCAACAUUUCUGAUUUCUCAGAUGUUUCACAUACCACAGAAGAACAUUGUUUGUGAAAAUAUGCAUUUAUGUUGGAUUUUGUAUGCUGUGGGGACUGGGGCAAGGAUCAUAUGGAAGAGUGGUUGACUUUUUCUGUACUUUAACGGUUGAAAUAGGAUAAGCACGGGCAUUUGUGAGGCUUAAUUGAUUUUGAAGCCUGAAAUUGCGUUUCUGUCAUUUUGUCAAAAAAAUGGCAGAUUCCAUACUCAUAUGUUUGGCCUGUGGCCAUGUACAGAUGCCAUUUAGUGACCAGUUUGUAACUGUCAAUCGUUGCGUUUUGACUCUGCCUCAACAACAUCUGCCAUUGACGGGUUUUCAUACUUGCAAAUCAAAUAGUCUUUCGUCCCAUCAGGAAUUUCGGUUUAAAUAUUAUUAAGCAUACGUUUGGCUGACAAUCAUUAUCCAGUUCAUGAUUUGGUUUCUUACCCUUAAUCAAUGGUUUCUAAGUGAAUAUAUGUAGAAGGAAAUCCGAAGUGUAGACAGUAGUAUCGAUAACUCUCAAUAUUCUCUAUAUAAUAGAAUAAACAGCGUCAUAGUGAUCGUCGCCUACAAGCAAGGUACAAAUACCAAAACGAGUGACUCACAUAGACAUCUCCCAACAAGAUGUAGUAGUGACUGACACAUGGACACAAUUAACUCGUAGAAAAGGAUAAGACCAUUGCACAGCAGCUCUUAUUUUACAUACUACUUAUGCUAACCAAAGUCAAUUAGUUGGGAUGGGUGGGAGAUGGAGGUUUGUGCGGUGGCUUGUGGGGCGGAGUUGAUGGCUUCUUUCCAGGAGCUUCUGGCUUUUUCAUCGGAGCUGAAGGAGGCUCAAUCUUAUGAGGCGGCUUGUAUGAGUCUUCUUUACUCUCGACAGGAGGGUGGCCAGGGUUGUGAUCAUAAUGUGGUGGCUUCUCUCCCUUAGGUGGCUUGCCAACUGGGGUUGGUGGCUUGUGUUCAGGAAGUGGUUUCUCUCCCAUGGGAGGUUUAGCAAUUGGGGUUGGUGGCUUGUGUUCUGGGAGUGGCUUCUCUCCCUUGGGAGGUUUAGUAGGUGACUUGUGUUCUGGAGGUGGCUUCUCCACCGGAGGCUUGUGCUCCGGUGGUGGCUUCUUGGUUGGAGGGGGCUUGGGGUAAUCAGCAAGAGAUGGGGUGGUGAGAACCACCAGUCCAAGGAACAACACUAGCAAGUAUGUGGGAGACAUUUUUGAGUUUGGGCUGAUCAGAUGAUGCAAAACUAAAGCAUUACGUGACCUUUUAUAGCAUGUAGCUCCCAAUACCCACUAAGUAUUGUGGGGUCCAUUUGUGCCCUACGGGGUUGAAAACUUAGACAAUUGGGCAAGGACCCACCUGACUAUGGAGGACUAGUGAGGUGUGAUCAUAGCUUUAGGAUUUUUCUUCCUCUGCAGCCGUCGUGCCGUUGGCAUGAUUUUCUUAAUCUUAAAUAAAGGCAUAGUUAUAGAGUUGUUUAAUCUCUAAAUGGGAUUUUAUAUAUAUCUUCAGAUAGCCAUUAAUAUAUUUGAUGAAGAAAGAAAGACAAGUGCAUACAACAUGUAUACGACUAGCUUUCAUGGAGUUCAUUUAUGAUCAGUUUUCCUGUACAUGUAAACCAGGAUCAUAUAUAUGUUUCUGUUCCACAACUAUUUUGGAAUCUUGUUUAUCAGUUUUUAUCAUUAUAAUGUCACAUAGGCUGCCAACUUGGGCGCUAAAAGAACCAGUUGGGCUAGUUCGUUUCAGAAUUUCAAUGUGGAUUCAGGAAUUGUUUUGUAAGAUAUGCGAAAUAGUAGAGGGAUGAAUAGUGUUUCAUUAAUAAAAGUGUCCUGUAAAUUAGAAGGUGUCAUAGAAACUAUAAUCAAUAAAUAACUUUUUUUCCCCACGGGUGGUGUUUCUUGUGGGGAUCAGUGACUGGUUUAGGUUCACCCAAAAUGAGUUCAGACUAAAAUUGGUUUGAGUCAAUGCCGUGUCUCUUUUUUCCAGAAAUCAACUAUUUUAUGCAUUGAAUAAAUCAUACAAAGAAAAUAUGAACGCCCGCAAAACCUAAACCCUGGUUGCUAACUUUCUAUGUUUCAGUUCUAUUCACGCAAGAAUAUUAGUUUAAGUUUGGGAAAAAUGGCAACUUACCUAGUGAUUACUUGGUUUUGGUUUGCGACUAUUUACGCAACCAACCAUGAGUUUGACUUUAACGUCAUGGGUUGAAGCCUCCUACAGGAAGGGAGAAAGCUCCACAGCUAGCUCCAAAAGAGAAUUAUCACAUUGAUAGCUCCAGAGAUUCCCAAGGGGACUGAAUCAAAGACAAGUUCCUCACUUUUUCUUCUUUUGAGGCCAAAUAUGAACCAAGGAUCACACAACCUCAUUCAACUUCAUAAGUUUGAUUUCAUGCAGUUGAACACUGGGUGAAGGCCAUGACAAGAAUUGAUUCAAAAAUUCUAUCACUCUUUUAAGUAAUGGAAGAUUAUUAUCUCUGAUUGGCAUCACAACAGCACAUGCUCCUAGAUCUUUCUAGACACUCCAUGCAAUGAAAGCACAAUGGAUCUUGUAACGAUAGAAACUAAGCCAUGCUACAGUACUAGAUGAUGAGGUAAAACUAGUAGACACGGGUGGCAGCCUAUAUGGGAGGGACACAAGUCUAAUUGAUUUGCAUUUCAGCAUUAUAGAUAGGUAUGUUUUGGAAGAUUUGUUCUGGAAAUACCGCACCAAGUAGGAUUCUUUUUCUCUUUAGUGGGUCCACUUGCAUGCCAAUUAACGAGUUGAAAAGUAUGAGCACCUACCUCGUGCUCGUGGAACCGAAGGUCAGUGAAGUGGGGCUCCUUUUGGCCUCGUGUAAACUUGAUUCAGAAGUGAAGUUAAUAGUCUUCCAUUCAGAUGGAUACAUGGGAAUUUUUCUCUUUUAUUUAUUUAUUUAUUUUUUUUUUGUGUGUGUAUGUCAAAGGAUAAUGAAUGAAGCGCGUUAGCUUGUUUUCUGACUGGAACCGCAGAUGUCCAAAUUGGAGUUCCUUCAUUUCUUACUUAGGAUUGUUACAUGUAUAAACAAGGUAUAAGAAAUAUGCCAACGUGUCUUGAGGAGUUAUUGAUUAGAAAUAACAAGUCACCCGACUGUAGAGUUCCAAGAUUUGAAUCUUCAGACCCUAUAGCAGCCUCUGGGGUACGUGGCAUCCUAUAGCAUAUUAAUGAAGGCUUUUUCGAUUUAGACUUCACAAUACCAAUUAAUAUGUAUGCACAAAAUGGAGAUGACCCCAAAAAAAACAGAAUCGCCAUAGUUUAUGAGGUUAAGGUGAUUCUCCACUUAAUAUCUACAUUAGCUAAUUAUGUAAAUCAAAUGAACUUCUAUUUUUCCUUUUUUUUUUUGGUUUAUGUCAAAUAGUAGCCCAUAAUUAACCCAACCAUUAGCCUGUUUGAAUUGAUUUCACAUGCACAAUGUUGUAGUAGUUCAUAUUUUGAAUUUUAUUUUUACAAAGGUAGUUAAGGAAAAUGAAGUAUAAUAAUUAUAAAAGCAGACUAUAUACACUACAAUAAUUGUUAGAAUGGUAUCUCAAAUUCUAAUUUAAAAUAUUAUUUUUUGUAAAAGAAAUAUUAUAUAGAAUAUUUCCUAAUUUUAUAAAUGAUUAUAAUUAGAUCUUUAUAAAAUAAGGAAAGUUGGUAAGAAUAUCUUUAUAAAUAUUUUAGGUCAUGAGAGAAAGAAAUGGGAUAAAAAUGUGAUGAAGAGGUGAAAUAAGAGAGUUGAUUAGGAUAUAGAUGUGAAGAAGAAAGGGAUUCAAUAUAUAUAUAUCUUUCAAUUACCACAUUAAAACCCUGUGAACCUUUUAUAUGGUUUACUUUAUUUUUAUAUUCCUCCUUUAAUAUAUUUACAUUAAUGCUUCCAUUGGCACAACAAUAACGAAUUACAAAUACAAGCAACAAGUCCCAUGUUUUAUUACCAAAAGCAGGUAAAAUCCACCUAAUAUAUUACAAUAUAUUCAUCCAAUAUUUUAGACCAAUUCUUCACCAUAAAUAUCAUAAUGUGGCUUUUGUUCUUUCUUAAAUUUAAAUUGAAUUGUCUUAUAUCAAUUUGUUUGUGAUUUUUUCAUUAACUUCACUUUCAUUUGGUUAUCUUUGGUUUUUGAAAAGUAUUAAGGAAUUAAUUAACAAAAUAAUGUUAAGAAAAAUAAUUUUCUCUCUUUUGAUUUUGAUUUUGUAGUAGAAAAAUAUAAUUAAAAUUAUUUAAAAAGUAUGUAAUUUUAAAUUAUUUAAUAUUUAGAUAAAAAAAAUAAGUCUAAUGAGUUUAAAAUAACAUAUAAAAAUAAUUUAUUUAUUUUAAAUUUAUUUUUUAUUUUCCAUUAUGUUCUCUUUCUCUUUUACUUUUUCAUAUUUUUUCUUACGAAGAAUCAAACACAACCUCAUAUUAUAUGUCAAGUGUUUGUCUAUAUUUGAGCAAUGUUAGAUACGGCCAUGGAUUCAUCAAACUAAACUGAUUUUAAUAGAUACUUCACAAAUUGAUUUAUACACUAAAUCAUUGGAUAGCAAUGAUGCAUUGGAAUUAAACGUAGGAUGAAGCUCGAAGAACACUGUUUGUGUAACAACAUAUUUAUGAAAUUAUGCAAAGGAUGAGCUUCGGGGUAGUAGUACAAGGUCAUUAAUGGAGAGCCGUGUUAAACCUUGAUUGUGAUUGGAUUCCGUUAUCAGCAACAGCAACCUUGUUUGUAACCUUGAAAGUCAUUCUGUCCACAUCGAAACUCCAAUUUGACGUUUGUAAUUACCAUUCCUGGAGUGUUCCUUGAUUGAAAUUUAAAUAAUAAUUGCGGCCCACAAGGAAUAUUUUCGAUUCUGUGGGAAUUUGACAAGGUUUGUUAGAGAAGACUGGUGACAUGUUGACUUCAAUGGUUCAAAUAGGAGACGUAUGUGGAUUUGGGGGGUUUAAUUGAAACUGAGUCCCUAUGGCUUUUUAAUAUUUGCAUUGAGCAGUCUCCAUGUGACUUCCUAAUUCCCACCAACCCUCCUGUCCAUGCUGUGAAACUAAAUUGUAAUUUAUCAGCCUUUGUCAAUGGUUUCUAAAUUAAAGAUAUAGACCAUGCAUGUACUUUAAUAAAAGCAAAUCUAAAGUGUAGAUAGCAGCAAUGGUGACACCCAAUAUUCUCCAUAAAAUAGAAUUAGAAUAAGCAGUGUUACAUUGUUCAUGAUCACCUACAAGCAUACAAGAACUUCCAUGAAUAACUCAUAGCAAUUGCCAACAGGGCGUCGUAGAGACUCAUACAUAGAACACUAUCCACCCAGAGGAAAGGACAAGACCAGUGCGCUGCAGCUCUUAUUUUUCACAUGUAUACCACCACUCGUAAUAACCAAAUUCACUCAGUUGGGAUAGGUGGGAGAUGGUGGUUUGUGGGGUGGCUUGUGGGGAGGAGUUGGAGGAGGCUUUAUUUUCUGAGGCGGCUUGUAUGAGUGUGCAGGAGGAUGCCCGGGAGUGUGACCAUAAUGUGGUGGCUUCUCUCCCGUAGGUGGUUUGCCAAAUGGGCUUGGUGGCUUCUCUCCCUUAGGAGGUUUACCAAUUGGGGUUGGUGGCUUGUGUUCUGGGAGUGGUUUCUCUCCCUUGGUAGGUUUGCCAAUUGGGGUUGGCGGCUUAUGUUCUGGGAGUGGCUUCUCUCCCUUGGGAGGUUUGCUAAUUGGGGUUGGCGGCUUAUGUUCUGGGGGCGGCUUCUCUCCCUUGGGAGGUUUGCCAAUUGGAGUUGGCGGCUUAUGUUCUGGGAGUGGCUUUUCUCCCUUGGGAGGCUUGCCAAUUGGGGUUGGCGGCUUAUGUUCUGGGGGUGGCUUCUCUCCUUUAGGAGGUUUGCCAAUUGGAGUCGGCGGCUUAUGUUCUGGAAGUGGCUUUUUUCCCUUGGGAGGUUUGCCAAUUGGGGUUGGCGGCUUAUGUUCUGGGGGUGGCUUCUCUCCCUUGGGAGGUUUGCCAAUUGGAGUCGGCGGCUUAUGUUCUGGGAGUGGCUUCUCUCCCUUGGGAGGUUUUGUUGGUGGCUUGUGUUCUGGAGAUGGCUUCUCCCCUGGAGGCUUGUGCUCCGGAGGUGGCUUCUGAAAUGGCGGGGGCUUGGGGUAAUGAGCAAGAGAUGGAGUACUG